AGCGAACGCUGGCGGCAGGCCUAACACAUGCAAGUCGAACGGAACCUUCGGGAUUAGUGGCGGACGGGUGAGUAACACGUGGGAACGUGCCCUUUGGUUCGGAACAACUCAGGGAAACUUGAGCUAAUACAGGAUGUGCCCUUCGGGGGAAAGAUUUAUCGCCAUUGGAGAGGCCCGCGUCUGAUUAGCCAGUUGGUGAGGUAACGGCCGACCAAGGCGACGAUCAGUAGCUGGUCUGAGAGGAUGAUCCGCCACACUGGGACUGAGACCCGGCCCAGACUCCUACGGGAGGCAGCAGUGGGGAAUCUUGCGCAAUGGGCGAAAGCCUGACGCAGCCAUGCCGCGUGAAUGAUGAAGGUCUUAGGAUUGUAAAAUUCUUUCAGCGGGGACGAUAAUGACGGUACCCGCAGAAGAAGCUCCGGCUAACUUCGUG
rnacentral:rRNA from 1 species